AUCUACGGCCAUACCACACUUACCUCAAAUGCUAGGCAGGGUUGAUCCAGGUCAGUACUUGGAUGGGAGGCCACCUGAGAAUACUGGGGGGUGGUAGGCU
ensembl:rRNA 5S_rRNA 5S ribosomal RNA